AAACCAACAGGGAUUGCCUCAGUAGCGGCGAGUGAAGCGGCAAGAGCUCAGAUUUGAAAUCGUGCUUUGCGGCACGAGUUGUAGAUUGCAGGUUGGAGUCUGUGUGGAAGGCGGUGUCCAAGUCCCUUGGAACAGGGCGCCCAGGAGGGUGAGAGCCCCGUGGGAUGCCGGCGGAAGCAGUGAGGCCCUUCUGACGAGUCGAGUUGUUUGGGAAUGCAGCUCCAAGCGGGUGGUAAAUUCCAUCUAAGGCUAAAUACUGGCGAGAGACCGAUAGCGAACAAGUACUGUGAAGGAAAGAUGAAAAGCACUUUGAAAAGAGAGUGAAACAGCACGUGAAAUUGUUGAAAGGGAAGGGUAUUGCGCCCGACAUGGGGAUUGCGCACCGCUGCCUCUCGUGGGCGCGCUCUGGGCUUUCCCUGGGCCAGCAUCGGUUCUUGCUGCAGGAGAAGGGUUCUGGAACGUGGCUCUUCGGAGUGUUAUAGCCAGGGCC
rnacentral:rRNA from 1 species